UAGUCAAUGCUCGCAAGAGUGAACUAGCUAACUGAAAUCAUAUAUGUGUCAUAUGUGAUAAAGUAAGGGAAAAUAAUGAUAUUACCUUAUUAUUAGUGUUGUCCAAAACUGGUGCCAGAAGACUCGGUAAGGCCAGAGACGCGAACGUUAGUCGUCCUAAUCAGGCGUAAAGGGUUUGUAGGCUGCUUUAAAAGUUUUAUUUUUAAUAUAGCUAAAAUAAAGAUAAGAUCAAUUAAAGCUAGAAUCAAAUAGAGGGUAAACCAAAUAAUACUUAGAGUAGGGCCGAUAUCCAUAAAUACUAGGUGGAAUACUAAAGGUGAAAGCUUUUUAUCUACUAAUGAUUGACGCUGAGAAACGAAGGUGAGGAAAGGAAACAGGAUUAGAUACCCACAUACCCCUCUCUGUCAACGAUGAAUGGUGGCUUGCUAAUUGAAUAAAACAUUAAAAAUUUAAUGUAAUUAUAAUAAAAAAUUGGUAGCGAUGUUAACACGAUAACCAUUCCGCCUUGUGAGUACGACUGCAAAGUGAAAACAA
rnacentral:rRNA from 1 species